rnacentral:rRNA from 1 species
AUUGAAUGCUGACGGCGUGGAUGAGGCAUGCAAGUCGUACGAAGUGAUAGGGCAACUUGUCAUUUAGUGGCGAAAGGGUUAGUAAUACACGAAUAACCUGUCUUUGACAUAGGAAUAACUUUUGGAAACGAGUGCUAAUACCUAAUAUGGUCCUUUUAAGAAAACUAAAGAGGAUUAAAGCGGGGGAUUUAAGAAAUUAAACCUUGCGGUUAUAGAGGGGUUCGUGGGAUAUCAGCUUGUUGGUGUGGUAAUGGCGCACCAAGGCUAAGACGUCUAGGCGGGUUGAAAGACUGACCGCCAACAUUGGGACUGAGACACUGCCCAG